rnacentral:rRNA from 1 species
UACGUAGGGUGCUUGAGUUGUCCGGAUUUACUGGGUGUAAAGGGUGCUCAGGGGGGUUUGUAAGUCAGAGGUGAAAUCCCAAAGCUUAACUUUGGAGCUGCCUUUGAUACUGCAAGUCUAGAGUUUGAGAGAGGGUAAUGGAAUAUCUGGUGUAGCAGUGAAAUGCGUAGAUAUCAGAUAGAACACCAAUGGCGAAGGCAGUUACCUGGCUCAAAACUGACGCUAAAGCACGAAAGUGUGGGGAGCAAACAGG